rnacentral:miRNA from 1 species
CAGUUAAAUUUGAAAUUCAGCAGAAACAAGAAAUAAUUUUUUAGCGUAUAUUCCAUGUAAUAUUUGGGAUAUACUUAUACUAAAAUUUGUUAUUUCUAUGAAAUUCCAUUUUAACU